UCACUGGGUACGUUCGCCCUUG
rnacentral:miRNA from 2 species